rnacentral:rRNA from 1 species
AGACAGCAGUAGCCGCGGUAACACGUAGGUGGCAAGCGUUGUCCGGAAUUAUUGGGCGUAAAGGGCUCGCAGGCGGUUUCUUAAGUCUGAUGUGAAAGCCCCCGGCUCAACCGGGGAGGGUCAUUGGAAACUGGGAAACUUGAGUGCAGAAGAGGAGAGUGGAAUUCCACGUGUAGCGGUGAAAUGCGUAGAGAUGUGGAGGAACACCAGUGGCGAAGGCGACUCUCUGGUCUGUAACUGACGCUGAGGAGCGAAAGCGUGGGGAGCGAACAGGAUUAGAUACCCCAGUAGUCCCUGUCUCUUAUAC